rnacentral:rRNA from 1 species
CAGGACGAACGCUGGCGGCGUGCUUAAUACAUGCAAGUCGAACGCGAAAGCACUCUUCGGAGUGCGAGUAGAGUGGCGAAUGGGUGAGUAACGCGUAGGUAAUGUACCCUCGAGAUUGAGAUAACCCCGGGAAACCGGGGCUAAUACCGAAUGAAGCAUGACCUGUGGGAUGGUGAUGUGAAAGUGGCGCAAGUCACGUUUGGGGAGCAGCCUGCGUCCUAUCAGCUUGUUGGCGGGGUAACGGCCCACCAAGGCGAAGACGGGUAGCUGAUCUGAGAGGAUGAUCAGCCACACUGGGACUGAGACACGGCCCAGACUCCUACGGGAGGCAGCAGUAGGGAAUAUUGCGCAAUGGGGGAAACCCUGACGCAGCGACGCCGCGUGAGCGAAGAAGGCUUUAUUAGUCGUAAAGCUCUGUAGGGAGGGAAGAACCGCAGGUGGUAACGCAUCUGUCUGACGGUACCUCCAAAGUAAGGACCGGCUAAAUACGUGCCAGCAGCCGCGGUAAUACGUAUGGUCCGAGCGUUGUCCGGAAUUACUGGGCAUAAAGGGUGCGUAGGCGGAUGUGUAAGUCAGGUGUGAAAGCCCUCGGCUCAACCGGGGAAUUGCGCUUGAAACUGCACGUCUAGAGCAUGUCAGAGGCAGGCGGAAUUCCCGGAGUAGCAGUGAAAUGCGUAGAUAUCGGGAAGAACACCGGUGGCGAAGGCGGCCUGCUGGGACAGUGCUGACGCUGAGACACGAAAGCGUGGGGAGCGAACGGGAUUAGAUACCCCGGUAGUCCACGCCGUAAACGAUGGAUACUAG